rnacentral:rRNA from 1 species
AUGACCCACAUAUCAGAUAUUAAACUGAUAAGAACAGAUACUACACUUGAUCUUAGCCAAAAGGCCGAGAAAGGUAUGAGUUGUAGAGGUGGCCACCCCAGCUCUUUAUAG